rnacentral:rRNA from 1 species
AACGAACGCUGGCGGCAUGCCUAACACAUGCCAGUCGAACGAGACCUUCGGGUCUAGUGGCGCACGGGUGCGUAACGCGUGGGAACCUGCCCUUAGGUUCGGAAUAACUCCCCGAAAGGGGUGCUAAUACCGGAUAAUGUCUUCGGACCAAAGAUUUAUCGCCUUUGGAUGGGCCCGCGUUGGAUUAGCUAGUUGGUAGGGUAAAAGCCUACCAAGGCGACGAUCCAUAGCUGGUCUGAGAGAAUGAUCAGCCACACUGGGACUGAGACACGGCCCAGACUCCUACGGGAGGCAGCAGUGGGGAAUAUUGGACAAUGGGCGAAAGCCUGAUCCAGCAAUGCCGCGCGAGUGAUGAAGGCCUUAGGGUUGUAAAGCUCUUUUACCCGGGAUGAUAAUGACAGUACCGGGAGAAUAAGCUCCGGCUAACUCCGUG